rnacentral:rRNA from 1 species
AGCAGCCGCGGUAAUUCCAGCUCCAAUAGCGUAUAUUAAAGUUGUUGCAGUUAAAAAGCUCGUAGUUGAAUUUCGGGAUUAGUACGUUGGUCGUGCCUUAGGUACGUACUGGUGUUACUGGUUCCUACCUUCUGACGAACCAUCAUGUCAUUAAUUUGGUGUGGCGGGGAAUCAGGACUGUUACUUUGAAAAAAUUAGAGUGUUUAAAGCAGGCUCGCGCUUGAAUACAUUAGCAUGGAAUAAUGAAAUAGGACGUUGACCCGUAUUUUGUUGGUUUCUAGGAUUGACGUAAUGAUUAAUAGGGAUAGUUGGGGGCAUUAGUAUUCAAUUGUCAGAGGUGAAAUUCUUGGAUUUAUUGAAGACUAACUACUGCGAAAGCAUUUGCCAAGGAUGUUUUCAUUAAUCAAGAACGAAAGUUAGGGAUCGAAGACGAUCAGAUACCGUCGUAGUCUUAACCNUAAACUAUGCCGACUAGGGAUCGGAUGAUGUAUUUUUANGACUCAUUCGCGCUUACGGGAAA